rnacentral:rRNA from 1 species
GACGAACGCUGGCGGCGUGCUUAACACAUGCAAGUCGAACGGUAAGGCCCUUCGGGGUACACGAGUGGCGAACGGGUGAGUAACACGUGAGCAACCUGCCCUUGACUCCGGAAUAAGCGCUCGAAAGGGCGUCUAAUACCGGAUACGACCUUCUCGGACAUCUGAGAUGGUGGAAAGCUUUUGCGGUCAAGGAUGGGCUCGCGGCCUAUCAGCUUGUUGGUGAGGUAACGGCUCACCAAGGCUUCGACGGGUAGCCGGCCUGAGAGGGCGACCGGCCACACUGGGACUGAGAUACGGCCCAGACUCCUACGGGAGGCAGCAGUGGGGAAUAUUGCACAAUGGGCGAAAGCCUGAUGCAGCAACGCCGCGUGCGGGAUGACGGCCUUCGGGUUGUAAACCGCUUUCAGUAGGGACGAAGCGCAAGUGACGGUACCUACAGAAGAAGCACCGGCCAACUACGUGCCAGCAGCCGCGGUAA